rnacentral:miRNA from 1 species
GAGACUCGUGGUGACUCCGACU